UACGUAGGUGGCAAGCGUUGUCCGGAUUUACUGGGCGUAAAGGAUGCGUAGGCGGAUGUUUAAGUGAGAUGUGAAAUACCCGAGCUCAACUUGGGUGCUGCAUUUCAAACUGGAUAUCUAGAGUGCGGGAGAGGAAAGCGGAAUUCCUAGUGUAGCGGUGAAAUGCGUAGAGAUUAGGAAGAGCACCAGUGGCGAAGGCGGCUUUCUGGACCGUAACUGACGCUGAGGCAUGAAAGCGUGGGGAGCAAACAGG
rnacentral:rRNA from 1 species